ACGAACGCUGGCGGCGUGCUUAACACAUGCAAGUCGAACGGUAAGGCCCUUCGGGGUACACGAGUGGCGAACGGGUGAGUAACACGUGGGUGAUCUGCCCUGCACUUCGGGAUAAGCCUGGGAAACUGGGUCUAAUACCGGAUAGGACCAUGGACUUCACGGUUUGUGGUGGAAAGCUUUUGCGGUGUGGGAUGGGCCCGCGGCCUAUCAGCUUGUUGGUGGGGUAAUGGCCUACCAAGGCGACGACGGGUAGCCGGCCUGAGAGGGUGUCCGGCCACACUGGGACUGAGAUACGGCCCAGACUCCUACGGGAGGCAGCAGUGGGGAAUAUUGCACAAUGGGCGCAAGCCUGAUGCAGCGACGCCGCGUGAGGGACGACGGCCUUCGGGUUGUAAACCUCUUUCAAUAGGGACGAAGCGCAAGUGACGGUACCUAUAGAAGAAGCACCGGCCAACUACGUG
rnacentral:rRNA from 1 species